rnacentral:rRNA from 1 species
GACGAACGCUGGCGGCGUGCUUAACACAUGCAAGUCGAACGGAAAGGCCUCUUUCGGGGGGUACUCGAGUGGCGAACGGGUGAGUAACACGUGAGUAACCUGCCCUUGACUUUGGGAUAACUUUAGGAAACUGGGGCUAAUACCGGAUAGGAGCUCCUGCUGCAUGGUGGGGGUUGGAAAGUUUCGGCGGUUGGGGAUGGACUCGCGGCUUAUCAGCUUGUUGGUGGGGUAGUGGCUUACCAAGGCUUUGACGGGUAGCCGGCCUGAGAGGGUGACCGGCCACAUUGGGACUGAGAUACGGCCCAGACUCCUACGGGAGGCAGCAGUGGGGAAUAUUGCACAAUGGGCGGAAGCCUGAUGCAGCAACGCCGCGUGCGGGAUGACGGCCUUCGGGUUGUAAACCGCUUUCGCCUGUGACGAAGCGUGAGUGACGGUAAUGGGUAAAGAAGCACCGGCUAACUACGUG